rnacentral:rRNA from 1 species
UGGGGAAUUUUGCACAAUGGGGGAAACCCUGAUGCAGCGACGCCGCGUGAUUUAGAAGGCCUUCGGGUUGUAAAAAUCUUUUUUAUGGGAUGAAAUUGACAGUACCAUAAGAAUAAGGUCCGGCUAAAUACGUGCCAGCAGCCGCGGUAAUACGUAUGGACCGAGCGUUGUCCGGAAUCAUUGGGCGUAAAGGGUACGUAGGCGGCCCAGUAAGUUAGAAGUGAAAUAAUAUAGCUCAACUAUAUAAAGCUUUUAAAACUGCUAGGCUUGAGAGAUGGAAGGGAAAGUGGAAUUCCUAGUGUAGCGGUGAAAUGUGCAGAUAUUAGGAAGAAUACCGGUGGCGAAGGCGACUUUCUGGUCAUCAUCUGACGCUGAGGUACGAAAGCGUGGGUAGCAAACAGG